rnacentral:rRNA from 1 species
AUGUACCCCAUGGACGCCGCACGUGGCGACGGCACACGCCUAAUCCAAGAUGAGAUCGACGGCCCCCCAGGCCUCCACGUCGUCGUCCUCCAGCCCCAGGAACGCCUCCAGCCCGGACAUGCGCUCCCGCAGGCUCUCCGUGCCGCCGGCAGCUGUGACCGGAAGGGGAGACGAAGAUGCCGAACUCUCCUCGGCAGCGACCCACCGACGCUUCUUGGGCGCCCCCGGCCCCUCCACGGCCGCGGCCGCCUGCGGCGCGCCCACCGCGGGCGGGAAGUUGAGCUUGGCCUUCGGCCCGCGGAUAUCGCGCGCCGCGACGUCGUAGGCGCGCGCGGCCUCCUCCGCGGUGGCGUAGGUGCCCAGCCAGACGCGCGCGCCCUUCGUGGGGUCCCGGAUCUCCGCAGCCCAGCGGCCCCAUGGCCGGCGCCUGAUCCCACGGUACGCCGUCUUCCGCCCCGGCGCCAGCGCCGGGGACGUCGGCGGAGGAGCCAUCCGGGCGGCGGGCCCCGGCCGGGACGAAGUCGGCGAUAA